rnacentral:lncRNA from 1 species
CUGGCCAAUAUUAUUCCUGUUUUACAGAUGAGGACACUGGGGAAACACCAUCAUAGAUGUGAAGAGUCAAGACUAAAUUAGAAUCCCAGUUCUGCCUUUCGUUCACUGUCUGGCCUUAGACAAGUUAUUCAAUCUCUCUGAGCCUUUGUGUUCUCAUCUGUAAAUAAAAUAAUAAUGGCCCUAUCUCAAAAUAUAAGAAAGGAUUAAAUGAUGUAGCAAACACAGAGUGCUUAGCACUAUAAUGAAAGUGCAAAACAGUAGCUGGUUAAGUACCUUUUCAAGAUGCACAUCUAUACAGAGGAGGAGGAAUUUCUGUUUCUGGAACAUAAAUCUUCUCCUAGAACAUAGACCUUUCAUUUCUAGAACAUGUUUCUUUUGUACUAUUUUUCUACACCAUGUUUUGUUUUCAGAAAAUCUCUUCCGGGAAUUUAGAGAGGCUUGAGCAGUGGUAAUCAUACCAGACCAGGGGACAGGCAUCAGGAAUCUGGGAGGUGGGCAGGUGAGCAGGCAGACCCAAAGCCUGGCAGCUAACAUCUAGGUCGGAAACCAGGUAACGUCUGGAGUUUUGGGCCAAGGUGCAGGCCUGCCUGAUUAUUCGUAGAUGGCUUAUCUGAGACAAAGUUAUUCCUGGUUACAGAUGUCUAUGUAUUUAGUUCCUUGGCAACUCAUUAAACAUAACUGUUUAUAGUUUAAAGAGACCAAAUCCAUGUAACCUUGUCAUUUUCCUACCCGACUGGGCAUCAGAAACACCUGAUGCACUUGUCAGAGCUGUCCAUUCUUGAGCUUCACCAUUGAGAUAUAGAUUCUGUUGGCCUGGGGUGGGGCCUGAGAAAAUAUUAGGCUGGUGCAAAAGUAAUUACAGUUUUUGCCAUUUAUGUCAAAAAUGCAAUUACUUUUCCACCAACUUAAUAUUUUUCUUUUCUUUAACUCUCCAGGUAAUUCUGAAACUCAGCCUGAUUUGGGAGCCCCUGCAAUAAGUUUUUACUUUUACUUUGCACCUGAGGAAAAAGGCUCCAACCCAGGUGAAGUGACUUCCCCAAGGUCACACAGGGUAUCAGUAGCAGCAUUCCUUCUAUCUCUUUGUUCCAAAUUUUCUUUGCACUUCAGUCCAAGGCAACCCAACUGAAAAAUAUCUGAAAAAGACAAGGAUUUUUAUUAUUGUCUGCCUCUAGUAAAGAUUCCUUGGAUGAGACUAGCUGUUCCCAGCAUGCCAUUAGAUAAGACCUCUAUGGGGCAAGAGAGGAAAGCCUUCCCAGAUGCCUGGACUUCAGAUGUUUUCCUUGUUUGAUGUUGAAAGCUGAGAAUUUCCCUGGCUCAUGACCCCUGGAAACAAAUGCUGGAUUAUCUGUUGCGCUGGAUUAUCUGUGCCUGGCCCCUGCAGCUGCAUAGAGAAUUGUGUGUUGCCUGCACAGACUGAAGCUCUCCAUCCAUCCUGCGUGCAUUUUGUACUCGCCUGUGCCAGUGGGACUCGUGGGCCCAGUGGAAGUUCCUUAGAAGACCGAGGCCUUUGUCACCACCCACAAAGCAAGGGGAAGGUCUGCAACUGGCCAACACAGUGCCUGACAUCUAACGGGCCCUCAGUAAAUACUUGUGGAAUAGUCUCGCUGUAUCACUCAAGCUGGAUCUCGGCU